rnacentral:snRNA from 1 species
UCCCCGAACUUCGAACAC